rnacentral:rRNA from 1 species
AUGAACGCUAGCUACAGGCUUAACACAUGCAAGUCGAGGGGCAGCAUGGUCUUAGCUUGCUAAGACUGAUGGCGACCGGCGCACGGGUGAGUAACACGUAUCCAACCUGCCGUCUACUCUUGGACAGCCUUCUGAAAGGAAGAUUAAUACAAGAUGGCAUCAUGAGUCCGCAUGUUCACAUGAUUAAAGGUAUUCCGGUAGACGAUGGGGAUGCGUUCCAUUAGAUAGUAGGCGGGGUAACGGCCCACCUAGUCUUCGAUGGAUAGGGGUUCUGAGAGGAAGGUCCCCCACAUUGGAACUGAGACACGGUCCAAACUCCUACGGGAGGCAGCAGUGAGGAAUAUUGGUCAAUGGGCGAGAGCCUGAACCAGCCAAGUAGCGUGAAGGAUGACUGCCCUAUGGGUUGUAAACUUCUUUUAUAAAGGAAUAAAGUCGGGUAUGCAUACCCGUUUGCAUGUACUUUAUGAAUAAGGAUCGGCUAACUCCGUGCCAGCAGCCGCGGUAAUACGGAGGAUCCGAGCGUUAUCCGGAUUUAUUGGGUUUAAAGGGAGCGUAGAUGGAUGUUUAAGUCAGUUGUGAAGGUUUGCGGCUCAACCGUAAAAUUGCAGUUGAUACUGGAUAUCUUGAGUGCAGUUGAGGCAGGCGGAAUUCGUGGUGUAGCGGUGAAAUGCUUAGAUAUCACGAAGAACUCCGAUUGCGAAGGCAGCCUGCUAAGCUGCAACUGACAUUGAGGCUCGAAAGUGUGGGUAUCAAACAGGAUUAGAUACCCUGGUAGUCCACACGGUAAACGAUGAAUACUCGCUGUUUGCGAUAUACAGCAAGCGGCCAAGCGAAAGCGUUAAGUAUUCCACCUGGGGAGUACGCCGGCAACGGUGAAACUCAAAGGAAUUGACGGGGGCCCGCACAAGCGGAGGAACAUGUGGUUUAAUUCGAUGAUACGCGAGGAACCUUACCCGGGCUUAAAUUGCAGAUGAAUUACGGUGAAAGCCGUAAGCCGCAAGGCAUCUGUGAAGGUGCUGCAUGGUUGUCGUCAGCUCGUGCCGUGAGGUGUCGGCUUAAGUGCCAUAACGAGCGCAACCCUUGUUGUCAGUUACUAACAGGUCAUGCUGAGGACUCUGACAAGACUGCCAUCGUAAGAUGUGAGGAAGGUGGGGAUGACGUCAAAUCAGCACGGCCCUUACGUCCGGGGCUACACACGUGUUACAAUGGGGGGGUACAGAGGGCCGCUACCACGCGAGUGGAUGCCAAUCCCCAAAACCUCUCUCAGUUCGGACUGGAGUCUGCAACCCGACUCCACGAAGCUGGAUUCGCUAGUAAUCGCGCAUCAGCCACGGCGCGGUGAAUACGUUCCCGGGCCUUGUACACACCGCCCGUCAAGCCAUGGGAGCCGGGGGUACCUGAAGUGCGUAACCGCGAGGAGCGCCCUAGGGUAAAACUGGUGACUGGGGCU